GGAAGUAAAAGUCGUAACAAGGUUUCCGUAGGUGAACCUGCGGAAGGAUCAUUACCUAGAGUUUGUAGACUUCGGUCUGCUACCUCUUACCCAUGUCUUUUGAGUACCUUGUUUCCUCGGCGGGUCCGCCCGCCGAUUGGACAACAUUCAAACCCUUUGCAGUUGCAAUCAGCGUCUGAAAAAACAUAAUAGUUACAACUUUCAACAACGGAUCUCUUGGUUCUGGCAUCGAUGAAGAACGCAGCGAAAUGCGAUAAGUAGUGUGAAUUGCAGAAUUCAGUGAAUCAUCGAAUCUUUGAACGCACAUUGCGCCCCUUGGUAUUCCAUGGGGCAUGCCUGUUCGAGCGUCAUUUGUACCUUCAAGCUCUGCUUGGUGUUGGGUGUUUUGUCUCGCCUCUGCGUGUAGACUCGCCUUAAAACAAUUGGCAGCCGGCGUAUUGAUUUCGGAGCGCAGUACAUCUCGCGCUUUGCACUCAUAACGGCGACGUCCAAAAGUACAUUUUUACACUCUUGACCUCGGAUCAGGUAGGGAUACCCGCUGAACUUAAGCAU
rnacentral:rRNA from 1 species